GAUGAACGCUGGCGGCGUGCCUAAUACAUGCAAGUCGGGCGAACGGACGAGAAGCUUGCUUCUCUGAUGUUAGCGGCGGACGGGUGAGUAACACGUGGAUAACCUACCUAUAAGACUGGGAUAACUUCGGGAAACCGGAGCUAAUACCGGAUGAUAUUUUGAACCGCAUGGUUCAAAAGUGAAAGACGGUCUUGCUGUCACUUAUAGAUGGAUCCGCGCUGCAUUAGCUAGUUGGUAAGGUAACGGCUUACCAAGGCAACGAUGCAUAGCCGACCUGAGAGGGUGAUCGGCCACACUGGAACUGAGACACGGUCCAGGCUCCUACGGGAGGCAGCAGUAGGGAAUCUUCCGCAAUGGGCGAAAGCCUGACGGAGCAACGCCGCGUGAGUGAUGAAGGUCUUCGGAUCGUAAAACUCUGUUAUUAGGGAAGAACAUAUGUGUAAGUAACUGUGCACAUCUUGACGGUACCUAAUCAGAAAGCCACGGCUAACUACGUG
rnacentral:rRNA from 1 species